CUUCUUUCCUCUAGUCGGGUAGUGAUGUAGUAACUUUCUUCCUGUUGGAGAGGCAAAGGCACCUCUUUUCAUGUUGGGUCUGCAGUUUUGGCAAGUGGUAGGGCUGAGAGGUCUCCUUGUGGCCCCUGGAAUCCAUUUUAAAUUAGGAAUUUCCUACAAGUUUCUACUAUCUUCCAGGAAGGUGCCUAGUGCUAUUUAUGAAGCAUGCUGGGAAACAAAUAGAAAUAAUGUAAGAAGAAGCAAUGGUUAAUGUAGAGACACAUGGAAAGAGGAGAAAUAGAGAUGCAGCUGGACUGAAAAAGGAAUGUGAAAAAUCUAAGCCCAAACAGGAGUGUAACAGACCCACUGAUACCUUUUUCUGGAGCCCAUGAAUCUGUAGUGGAUGAAUAUUCUGAAAACUAAUGAUGGAGUGGAUUUGAGGUUGGUUUCAAGAGCUGUGCAGAUACUGCAAGAUAGUUGAACAAUGAUCAGGAAAGGGCAAUCCUAUUCUCAAUGGUAGUUAACAAUAAGGUUGAAUUUUCUCCAUAUAUUCUC
rnacentral:lncRNA from 1 species